CCUACGGGAGGCAGCAGUGAGGAAUAUUGCGCAAUGGGCGAAAGCCUGACGCAGCCAUGCCGCGUGUGUGAAGAAGGCUCUAGGGUCGUAAAGCACUUUAAGUGGGGAGGAAGGCUACUUGGUUAAUACCUGAGUAGAUUGACGUUACCCACAGAAUAAGCACCGGCUAACUCCGUG
rnacentral:rRNA from 2 species